UUUUUGCUCCUGCUAGGGUUGCUGCACCAGCGGCCGGGAAGGCCUCGCCAGCAACCACCAGGGGCACGUGCAGCUCCCCUUCCGUCCUGAAGUCGCUUAUCUCCUUUCUUCCCCAGCGCACGCUCUAUUCCCGGUGUGGGUGAGUCCGACUCCUGCCUGCUCUUCCCAGCGUGGUCCCAACGCUCGUCCUGGCGUGAGGCUCCGACGUGGUUUCGACGCAGAUCUAGCGAGGCCGAUCCCAUGGUGGCGUCAGCACGAAUGCUCUCGCGUGCGGCUGUCGUGCUGCUCUAUUAGAUGGAGAUGAGGAAGGGCAGAGAGAAUGACAUACGGGUCCCAUUUGUCAGUGUCUAUCAAAUAGAUUUGGGUGGCCAAAUUUGGGUACUGUUGUUGGCUCUGGCGGAGCCACCCUAGGGGCGGGGCCACCCCAGCUACCGGCGAGCUUGCCCCAUACCCCCG
rnacentral:lncRNA from 1 species